rnacentral:rRNA from 1 species
UACGGGGGGAGCAAGCGUUGUUCGGAUUUACUGGGCGUAAAGGGCGCGUAGGCGGCGCAACAAGUCACUUGUGAAAUCUCCGGGCUUAACCCGGAGCGGCCAAGUGAUACUGUCGUGCUAGAGUGCGGAAGGGGCUACUGGAAUUCUCGGUGUAGCGGUGAAAUGCGUAGAUAUCGGGAGGAACACCAAUUGCGAAGGCAGCUCGCUGGGGCGGUACUGACGCUGAGGCGCGAAAGCGUGGGGAGCAAACAGG